CAGUAGCCGCGGGAAUACGUAGGGUGCGAGCGUUGUCCGGAAUUAUUGGGCGUAAAGAGCUUGUAGGCGGUCUGUCGCGUCUGCUGUGAAAACCCGAGGCUCAACCUCGGGCCUGCAGUGGGUACGGGCAGACUAGAGUGCGGUAGGGGAGAACGGAACUCCUGGUGUAGCGGUGGAAUGCGCAGAUAUCAGGAAGAACACCGAUGGCGAAGGCAGUUCUCUGGGCCGUAACUGACGCUGAGAAGCGAAAGCGUGGGGAGCGAACAGGAUUAGAUACCCCCGUAGUCCCUGUCUCUUAUAC
rnacentral:rRNA from 1 species